AUGAGCUUUUAUUGCUUUGUUUCGACGCGGCAUCAUGGCUUUUGGAACCAAGUUGUUAAAGCUGCAUUUUGGAUAUUGAAUCAGUUGUUUCUGGAACGUUUUGCAGAUCACCAGCAAGAUCGAAAUCUCCUAAUGUUUCUCCAGCAAAUGGUGAAGCAGCAAGCCCCAAGAAGCAGAGCCCAUCUGGCUCACGCUCUCCUGAUGCGAAGCCUGAAUAAAAUUGCUAUGCUGUUAAAGGAUUCCAGAUGGAGUCAGGAGCUCUUCU